rnacentral:rRNA from 1 species
UAGGGAAUCUUCCGCAAUGGACGCAAGUCUGACGGAGCAACGCCGCGUGAGUGAGGAAGGAUUUCGGUUCGUAAAACUCUGUUGUUAGAGAAGAACAUCUCAUAGAGUAACUGUUAUGCGUGUGACGGUAUCUAACCAGAAAGCCACGGCUAACUACGUGCCAGCAGCCGCGGUAAUACGUAGGUGGCAAGCGUUGUCCGGAUUUAUUGGGCGUAAAGCGAGCGCAGGCGGUCAAUUAAGUCUGAUGUGAAAGCCCCCGGCUCAACCGGGGAGGGUCAUUGGAAACUGGUUGACUUGAGUGCAGAAGAGGAGAGUGGAAUUCCAUGUGUAGCGGUGAAAUGCGUAGAUAUAUGGAGGAACACCAGUGGCGAAGGCGACUCUCUGGUCUGUAUCUGACGCUGAGGCUCGAAAGCGUGGGUAGCAAACAGG